UGACAACAUGUAGAAUGCAACAGCCCUCGAUGACAUCAUCAUCCAGCGCCCGCCGCAUGGUGAAGUCCACGACCGGGUGGAACCGGAGCGACUCGUUGAUAAAACUCUCCAGAAUGUUUAACCUGGACAGAUAAUAUUUCUGGAAAAUACUGGUUUGAAAUGACAUGACAAUGAGUAAAUGAUUCCUUUAAAGAAGAUGAAGAUGAAGAUGAAGAUGAAGAUCUUCAACUCGACGUCUGGAUUCUGUUUGAGUAACAGCAACAUGAAGAACAAACUGAUGGAGAGAGUAUCUGGAGCCGCGAUCACCAUCUCCAACACACACUGCCUGACGUUCUCAGCGCUCAGCUCCCCGUGGUUCUAAACACGCAUACAUAGUAGUUGCUGGCUGUCCCGAUCCCAGACCAGAUGAACCGACAGUAAGAGAGAAGAGGACCCAGACCCAGGAAGAAACAAGGACCUGAAUGAAACACAUUGCAGCAAACAACAAUCAUCAGUUCAAAAAUGAUGAAUGUAAAUCAAGAACAUGCUGCAAAAUAAUAAAGGACAAAAUUCCAAAAAAAGCCUACCGACCCGGCAUAUGAGAUUUCUCUGGCCGGUGGUGUCUGAUGGCCAGCAGCAGGCAAAGUAACAUCAGCAGUAGUGUGGCCGUGGCUCCACACACAUUGUCUUGAGCCCCUUUAGUGCCAUUACGGGCGCCUUCGACCAGAAGAUCAACCGCAGCCUCGCCGAGACGCACCGGCUUCAUUCCACAGGGCUGGAGCAGUUCAGCUGCCAUAAGAACAGAUGGGGAAUUACAGUCUCUUCAAGUCUAAAGCAUCAGACUUGCAGACAUACACUUUUAUAUCUGAGUGGUUGCAUGGGAUUGGAGCAGGAUAAUCCAAAAGUCAAAAUAAAAACUCAGC